rnacentral:lncRNA from 1 species
CUCCAGGCAUCAGCGCGGCUGGAGGCAGGGGUGGGGAAAGGCAGGAGGGGGGUCAAGCCAAACAUCGUCAUGGGCACAUCUACGUUUACGAUCCUUAAAUGAACUGCGAGGGAAAUUGUCAGAGCUGCAAAAAAGAAGGUUCAGGAGAUUUAUGCGAGAAACGGCCAAUUUGGAAACUUAUAACUAAAGGGAAAAGUCGAGGUAUAAGCCGCGAAGACAGCGGUUGGCAGCCGAGCCCACAGCCGAGGCGCCCCUGCUUCUGAGCUCAUCGGGGAGAACUUCAUUUACUGGCAGAUCGGCGGCCACUUCCGGGACUCCUUAUCGAGCGAAGGCUUUCACCGCAGAGCCCUCAGCAGGGCUGUCCUGUCGCCUGUGGGUGCCGAGGUGCCAGGUGCCCGCGGCGCCCUGCAGCGCAGCCUUGUCCCCGCGCGUCAUGCCGCCCGGGGCCCUGGGCCUGUCUGCACCCCCAGGGGCGCGGACUCAUCGGGCCGGGCGGGGAUCCCGGCAAGACACGCUUCUUGGCGGUGGGGGCCGCGCACUCUCCCCGCUGCCUCGGCGCAGGGGCGGCAAUGCGGAGGGGGUGGGGAGUGUGGAGUGGGGUGGGGGGAACGUGUUCCCGGCGACCCCGAACCUUCUGGAAAGAGCACAGGGUGAAAAGGUCCCCUCUCCUGCCAGUGUCCCUCUUCCCCGCCUGCUUUGACCGCCAUCCCAGCUUCCCUUUGGGGUUCGCCUCGCCCUCUGCAGAGGGAGGGGUCAGGCGCGGGCGGCAGCCCAGGAGCGGGAGCGCGAGGACCAGCGGACCCCGCGCGGCGACUCGGGGGCACCGGCUUUUGUCUUUCGUUUCUUGGGGCUGAGCACCCGAGGGCGCCUUUCUCCCCUUCUUGGACUCGGGGAAUCCAGCUCACCCCGCCCUUGCCUCUUAGCCUCAUUCUGGAAGCUUCUCGCUUCGGUUCCUGGACGGUUCUUCCCCAGGGCGCGCCAUGAGCCCUGGGGUGCUGCCCAUCUCCCCCCUUCUCCUCCGAGGCAAAGGGUGCUCUGCGAGUCUGUUUGGGACGCGGGAGCCUUUGGGGACCCCGGGCGUCGAGUGCCCCCUGCGGCCGCGGCGGGCCCCCUCGCCGGGCUGGAACAAGCGCGCGUUUGUGGCCGAGGUUAUUAUUUCAGGUGCGCGAAUGGGAUUAGCGGCCGCGGGAGGACGGCGGGGCUGGAUGCGGGUCCUCCUCCCCGUUCCCGACGCCGCCGGGUGGAAGGGAGGCACCGCGGCGCCCGCGGAGUCUCCUCGCGCCGCCCGCUCCGUGCGCCCCGCGCCGGCGCUGCCGGCUCGGAGGGAGAGGAGCAGAGGAGCGCAGGGGCGGGGGCGGGAUGCGGGAGAGGAGGGGAAAGACGCAGAGUGACAGUGACAGGAAAGGAGAGAGGGAGAAGGGGAUGAAGAGCGGCAGAAACAGAGACACAGUCAGGGAAACCGACAGAGAUGGAAUCUGAUCAGUCUGGUCCGCCACCAGGACAUGGUAAAACGGCCUCGCCGGGGAAGGAGAAACGUACCCUUUAUGGCCAUGUGCUGCUUUCUGCGUCCGAGGGAGCCUCAUCAUAGACGUUUGCAUAAUUGCAUAUUGACUUUCCUAAACAGUUCCGCAGAGCUAUUUGUGCUUCCACUUGUUCAAUGGCAAACAAUUCCCUUGGGAAAAAGAAAAAGAAAAAAAGUGUGUGAGUGAGUACGUGUGUUAUGUGUGUUGGGUGGGACAUAAGGACAGAGGCAAACACUACCACUCUCUUUGAAAAUGUCCCUUAGGGCAUCCCAGCAAUGACCAUCCUGCGAGUCACCAUCACAAAUAGGGUGAGGUGAUGGCUGUGCCUUGGGCCCACUUUUCACAGCCCCUUCCCCACCACGGAGAACCAGAGAAUAUUAGGGCUGAUAAGUCAAGGCAUUUAGUUCCAUUUGCGUAUUUCACAGAUGAGCAAGCUGAGAACCAGAGAGGUUAAGUGACUUAUUCAGUUUCUUCUCUCUCUUUUCUGCUUGUCUCGAAGUUCUCUUUUUAAAUGUCCCCCCCCCAAUUCUUUGGGGGGAAAAAAACCUCAUUACAACCCCGGAAGAAGCCUUUCCUAUUCCAUGGCUCCUGUCAGCAGCAGUUGUGUGUGACACUGAUGGUGGUGUGUGAGUAUGGGGGACUGGGUGGUGGACCCCCUCUUCCCCUGCUCCAACACUGGCUCCUUCACUGAGCCCCUAAAGGGGGAGAGCAGAAGAAGGGAGCAGGCUAACCUGCGGAAGACCCCACCACAGAGCAGAGAGAAAGGAGCAAGGAGAGCUUGUAUUUGCUGGUGAUGGUGCUGGGGUCUCCCAGGCUUUGCUUUUCUCCAACCACACCCCACCUUUUCAAACAAGCAAACAACUCAGGCCUUUUGCCUUGAGUGACCCUAAGCAGAAAACUGCCCCAAGUCACCCCAGGGCAGGAGUGGGGACAUUCAAGGCCUUAUUUACCCCAGGAUUAAAAUAACAUCCCCUCUAACCCUGUCCUUCCUCAGCGGCUUCCUUUUAAGGAUGUGAGAAGGAGCUUCUUAGAGUCUAAACAGACAUAAUAACCCAUUGAGAUGUUUAGGAUUCAAGUAUACAAAAACAGCAUUUUAUCCCUGCUUCCCUGAACCCCACUGCAACCAAGACCCCAGCUACCAAACCCUUUACAAAGAUGUCCUGUAUCUCUUAUGGGCAGAAUAUAUUUUUGAGGAGCCACUUCUAAUUCUGAAAUAUUUUUACCUUCAUAUUUUGCUCCUAAAGCAAAUCAGUUAUUUAUUGCCCUCCUUGCCCCAUUCCCUGAUUAUUUUUAGCCUUUCAUUCUAAAUUUUUUGUUACCUUGAAUUUUGUCUUGAUUAGGGUGUUUGGUGCAGAAAACUUGCUUGUAGGUUUGUUAUCUGCAGUCAUCCACAUUUAUUUUAUUUUGUGAGUAGUCUGUGAAGUUCGCUAUAUAUGUGUUUUUAUUGAGGUAACGCUGGUUUGUAACAUUAUAUAAAUUUCAGGCAUAUAUCAUUGUAUUUUGACUUCUGUAUAGACUAUACCAUGUUCACCACCAAAAGACUAGUUUCCAUCCAUCACCGUACACAUGUACCCCUCUACCCCUUUGCUGUGGUUUUUUACUUAUUGAAUAUUAACAAAAAAAGUAGCCUAACACUCUUUGAGAUUUAAACCUUAGUAAUGUCGCUGUUCUAGCCUAGCUUUUGUAAUAACCCUAUUGCGUUUUCUUAGAUACUUGUUGAUUCACGUAUCUUUUAGUUAAAAAUCUUUUGAGAAACCCAGACCUUUGCAGUAUCCUGCACUGUAAGCUAUUUUAUUUGUGAUCCUAGGCUGAAACCGAAGAAUGAUUUUGGAAAUUGGUUCUGUUAGAAAAAGCUGUUCGCACAUACAAAUGUUCCCAGCCAAGCUUCUUGGUAGUGGCAGGGAGGGAGAGUGGCAGAGUUGAGAGUUAGAAUACUCAGGUUCAAAUUUUGACUCGGCCACUAGUAAUGUCGCUGUUCUAGCCUAACUUUUGUAAUAAGCCUAUUGCGUUUUCUUAGAUACUUGUUGAUUCACAUAUCUUUUAGUUAAAAAUCUUUUGAGAAACCCAGACCUUUGCGUUGACUGCAUUUGAAGAAGUUAAUCACCUGCAAAAUGAAUUGGUUAUAUUCUUGUGUUCUCUAAGUGUACAUGUGAUUCUUCUAUUUAGUGAUUCUGAUUAUAGAAUUAGACACAUAGAAAAUGCGUAGCUUCAUAAUGAACAAAACAGUGUAGUGUUAGCAUAUUGCAGGAAUACCUAUUUCACAGCAACUUUUAAAGAGGUCAAUAUUUUGGAGUUGGAUUGGAGAAGGUUAUCUUAAAGCCAUGAUUCCCUGCCUUGACUUCAGCUGUUUACAUACAACCAUCGGGUUUUUGCCCUAUUUUAAUGCCCUCUGGAUUACUAUUUGUGUUUUUUUUUUAAAAAAAAGAUAGUCUCAUCCAUAAUAAGGCACAUAAAUGUAUUUUAAAAUGAAACUUUAUAUCAUAGGAUUUCUUUUGUAUUUUUUUGUAAUGCAGAGUACAAUAAAUACAAUAAUAAAUUUGAAACAACUUCCUUGCCUAUAUGCUCUUAAAUCAGCGUUACCUCAAUUUGCGAAGGAAUGACGUAAGGACAUCUUAAAUCUGUUCAAUCUGCCACGCUCUAAACAGGCUCUGCUUUAUGCAUCAGUAUGACCAAGGGCUGAGCAACGAGUAUCCCACAAUGAAUACAGAAAGAAGAGGCAUAUGGAAGAGAAAGAAGUGAAC